AUUGAACGCUGGCGGCAUGCUUUACACAUGCAAGUCGAACGGUAACAGGCCUUCGGGUGCUGACGAGUGGCGAACGGGUGAGUAAAGCAUCGGAACGUACCCAGAGGUGGGGGAUAACGCAGCGAAAGCUGUGCUAAUACCGCAUGUGAUCUGAGGAUGAAAGCGGGGGACCUUCGGGCCUCGCGCCUUUGGAGCGGCCGAUGUCGGAUUAGCUAGUUGGUGGGGUAAAGGCCUACCAAGGCGACGAUCCGUAGCUGGUCUGAGAGGACGACCAGCCACACUGGGACUGAGACACGGCCCAGACUCCUACGGGAGGCAGCAGUGGGGAAUUUUGGACAAUGGGCGCAAGCUGAUCCAGCAAUGCCGCGUGCGGGAAGAAGGCCUUCGGGUUGUAAACCGCUUUUGGCAGGAACGAAAAGCUCUGGGCGAAUACCCUGGGGUGAUGACGGUACCUGCAGAAUAAGCACCGGCUAACUACGUG
rnacentral:rRNA from 1 species